AGGUUACAUUUGCCGGCAGCCGACCACACUUUGGGUUCGGCCUGAGUCUUGGAUUCCUGUUGACUGGUCACGGUUCCCUCAAUGCAUUCUUGCAUUCGAGGAACCUUUAUGACAGUCCAGAAUGCCGUUGUGGCUCGGCUGCUGAGACAUGGGAGCAUGUUCUCUGUGAGUGCACAAGGUAUGCAGAUUUUCGAGAUCUGAGGGGGAUGGGUAUAAGUGAGGUUAGUGGCGGGUUUGACGUAAGUCAAUCACUCUCCACUAGUGAUAGGGUUAGAAGAAUGAGUGAGUUUGCUAGAGCUGCAUUUUCCAGGCGACGUUUGCAAUUGCAGGAAGGAAUUGUAUGAAUGAUGAUGGAUGGUAGAUGUGAGAAUGUGGGGGUACGAAUGUGGGGGUGUUUCUGAAUGGUAAUUUUUGUUGAACAUUGUGUUGUGAUGGGGCUACCAACCCUUAACUGUUUGGAGUUUAAAUUGGAAGUGCCCUUCUGGUACGAGGCCUGACCGGAGGCUUUUAAUCUGGUACCACGGGUAACCAGGAGCCCACGGAACUUGUUCCGUCCUGGUUAGUUGGUGCGGCCCUUCGGGGAGUAUCGUGGUGGUUGUGGUUUAACACCCAAAUGCGGGUAGAGCAUCGCUCGACGUGGAGUUGCGUCAUACAACCGGGUUCCGUGACCCAGAUUACGGAAGAGGCUUAGAUAGUCCUCGUGCCAAACCAAGGUAGAAGUCACAACCAAACAGUCGUGUCUUUAAUUGGUACCUGCGGAAUUGUUCCAAGGGGGCGGUGAUUGACGCUUGAAUUAAUCCUAUACUAGGAACCGUGAGAUUAAGCCAUCGCGGCAGGUGCUCACGUUAAGCCCACUGACUUUCAUGUCCCUAUCUACUAUCUAGCGAAACCACAGCCAAGGGAACGGGCUUGGAAUAAUUAGCGGGGAAAGAAGACCCUUUUGAGCUUGACUCUAAUCUGGCAGUGUAAGGAGACAUAAGAGGUGUAGAAUAAGUGGGAGAUAUUAGACUUCGGUUUGGUAUCGACAAUGAAAUACCACUACUCUUAUUGUUUCCUUACUUACUUGAUUAAAUGGAACGUGUAUCAUUUCCUAGCCAUUAUACGGAUAUAAUUAUUAUGUCUUAUGGUAUUGGGUUUUGAUGCAAGCUUCUUGAUCAAAGUAUCACGAGUUUGUUAUAUAAUCGCAAACAAAUUCUUUAAUGAGAGAAUGCAUUUAUGUAUUAUUGAUUUAAAAAUUUGGUAUAACUCCA
rnacentral:ncRNA from 1 species